rnacentral:misc_RNA from 1 species
UCACAGUUUGCACUGGCAGUCUUGUUAGAGUUCCCGACAUUACUCGCUGGCAACUAACAACAGGGGUUGCGCUCGUUAUAGGACUUAACCUGACACCUCACAGCACGAGCUGACGACAACCGUGCAGCAUCUGUCAUCUGGUUCCUUGCGGCACGGCCCUAUUUCUAGGGCUUUCCGGUAUAUGUCAAACCCAGGUAAGGUUCUUCGCGUUGCAUCGAAUUAAGCCACAUGCUCCGCCGCUUGUGCGGGUCCCCGUCAAUUCCUUUGAGUUUUAGCCUUGCGGCCGUACUCCCCAGGCGGGGUGCUUAAUGCGUUAGCGUCGGCACGGAGAGGGUUGAAGACCUCCCCACACCUAGCACCCAACGUUUACGGCUGGGACUAC